rnacentral:lncRNA from 1 species
CAAGGGUGAGCUGCUGCUAGCCCACAAGGGGAGUUGCAGACCCAUGUCACCUGGGAGCAGAGAUCUGCGUCCAAGCAGGACAUGAAGACCAUGCCCUGUGAAUACUGAUACAGAAAAACCUGUUUUUCCAGCAGCCAGAACAAGGAAUGAUGCUGGUGGAUUGAAAGAUAUGACAUAUUGUUGUACCUUGAUGAAUAUCGAAGAUUGUCUCUUCAAGAAAAAUUGAAGGCCGUGGUUGUUCUAAUGUCAAAAAGUAGGUAAGCCCAAAGGGGAAAAGGAAAGGGAACCACAAGAUAAAAAUUGAACUGCUGAAACAUGUUUAUUGCAGUUCUUUAUUUCUUGUGGAAGAAAUAUCAAAUACUGCUCUGUGAACUGAACCGGUGCACAAUCAGUUUGGAUGACUGGAGGAUCUGCUUCAAAAUUGCACCACUGCUGCAAAGCCAAAUGUUGAUGUAGAUGCAGCCUGUGAGCACUGCUCCUAUGAUGGAUAAAAAUAGUAAGCUCUCCAUUUAAUCCAACACAUCAUAGUAUAAAUAUUCUGUAUCUUACUGACUUCUUAUAAUCACUUUAUCAUGUCUCCUAUUUGACUUUUUUCUU